rnacentral:rRNA from 1 species
ACUCCCCUUCCUUUCCUUUUUCCCUCCCAAUCCUCGGAGCAUGUGGUUUAAUUCGAAGCAACGCGAAGAACCUUACCAGGGCUUGACAUCCCGAUGACCGGUACAGAGAUGUACCUUCCCUUCGGGGCAUUGGAGACAGGUGGUGCAUGGUUGUCGUCAGCUCGUGUCGUGAGAUGUUGGGUUAAGUCCCGCAACGAGCGCAACCCCUAUCCUUAGUUGCCAUCAGUUAAAGCUGGGCACUCUAAAGAGACUGCCGGGGAUAACUCGGAGGAAGGUGGGGAUGACGUCAAAUCAUCAUGCCCCUUAUGUCCUGGGCUACACACGUGCUACAAUGGCCUGUAACAGAGGGAAGCGAAGCCGUAAGGCGGAGCAAAACUCAGAAACCAGGUCCCAGUUCGGAUUGUGGGCUGCAACUCGCCCACAUGAAGUCGGAGUUGCUAGUAAUCGCGAAUCAGCAUGUCGCGGUGAAUACGUUCCCGGGCCUUGCACACACCGCCCGU